GGUCGGUUCGGCCGGAUUUUACACAGGUGUUGCAUGGCUGUCGUCAGCUCGUGUCGUGAGAUGUUGGGUUAAGUCCCGCAACGAGCGCAACCCUCAUCCUUAGUUGCCAUCAGGUAAUGCUGAGCACUUUAAGGAAACUCCCAGUGAUAAGCUGGAGGAAGAUGGGGAUGAUGUCAAGUCAUCAUGGCCUUUAUGAAGUGGGCUACACACGUGCUACAAUGGUGUCUACAAUGGGCUGCAAGGUGCGCAAGCCUAAGCUAAUCCCUAAAAGACAUCUCAGUUCGGAUUGUACUCUGCAACUCGAGUGCAUGAAGUUGGAAUCGCUAGUAAUCGUGGAUCAGCAUGCCACGGUGAAUACGUUCUCGGGUCUUGUACACACUGCCCGUCACGCCAUGG
rnacentral:rRNA from 1 species